ACAGUCAGUAAGUGUGUGAGGCUGGAUUUGAACUCAGGCCCUUGAGACUUGAGGUCUGGUGCUCUAUUUACUAUUUACCUGAAAGUGGAGGGGGGAGUGGUAUUUGUGUCUUGAUCUGGAGUUAGAAGACUUCAAAAUCCAACUCUGCUGCUUACAUCCAGUGGGACUGUACGUCCCUUUAACUUCUGAGACUCCACAUACUCUACUUGGCAGAAUGCAGAGAGCCCUUGUUUACCAGCCUCAUGGGCAUUUAAUAAGCACCGAGAAGCUAAUAUCUGCAAAGUGCUUUUGAGCUUCUCCAAGAGGGGCUUUGGGUGUGAUUGCUAUUUUGUUCAGCCUUGUGCACCAACAGUAGAAUGGCCUACCUAGUGAUGUUGCUGCUGACCAAGAAAGAGAAACAGAGAGAAGAGCAGCUUUGGUUCCUCAUGCCAGACAGAGCAUAUGGAAGAAGAGUUAAACAAGUGUUCUCUUGGUUUCAAAAAAAUUGUUCCUUGGGAUGACCUCUUUUGCAUCUGUGCACUCUGUUUAUUUGGCUGAUUACCUGGAGUUGGGUUAAAUGAAUUCCAAUUUACAACCAAGAUGUUGAGCUGAUAGUAACUUCUUUUGGGGUAUCCAUUUUCAAUAAAUGAAAAGAAGCAAUUACAUGAAGAAGGAAGCUUGUGUUUUUGACAGAUUACUCUGCACCACAGAUACAUGCUCUUUUAGACGACCGAAGCACUUGAAAGCAUCAAUGAAGAACUUGUCUAGGAAGUGAAUUUGCACUCAGACUACAACCCAUUUUCUAAAUCCCAGCUCUGUCCUCAGGUGUUUUAUGCCCACGUUUAAUCAUUUCCAGGAAGGAAGAAUUAGAUUCAUGAUAUUUGAGCUCUGAAACAGGGUGCAAAAAUACAUGAUGUUCAUGUUAGUGGGACCUACAAAACCAUUUUGACAUCAGGGAGGCCUGGUUUGGAGACUGAGAUGGCAGCUUGUCUUCCCCAUGCCCUGACUCUUGACCUCAUAUCCCAGCUCUUGACUUCUUAGAGGAGACAGCUUGAAGCAGUGAACAAAAUAUUUAAUCUGGAGUCAGCUCCUGUUUCUCAGCCUGCUAGCUGUGUGACCUUGGACAAGUCACGAACUUCUCUGCCCCUCAGCUUUCUCAACAUAAAAUGAGCUAUCUCCUACCUCCCCAGGUUGUUGUAAGGAAAGUGCUUUGUAAAGUCUAAAAUACUAGAUAAAUCUAGCAUUUUAUGCUAUGAUUAUUAGUUGACCUCCUGCAUUGUGAAUGGCUAAUAUUCCUUAUGAGAU